UACAGAGGUCUCAAGCGUUGUUCGGAUUCACUGGGUUUAAAGGGUGCGUAGGUGGGCAGUUAAGUCAGUGGUGAAAUCUCCGGGCUCAACCCGGAAACUGCCAUUGAUACUAUCGGUCUUGAAUAUCGUGGAGGUAAGCGGAAUAUGUCAUGUAGCGGUGAAAUGCUUAGAUAUGACAUAGAACACCAAUUGCGAAGGCAGCUUACUACCCGAAUAUUGACACUGAGGCACGAAAGCGUGGGGAUCAAACAGG
rnacentral:rRNA from 1 species